UCAUUUCAUAAAUUCAUAAUAUUAAAAGCAAGUGAAACCCGAAACUACUUCACUUCGACAACAUAAUUUACAUACGGAUUUCCCUUUCGGGAGACCCCGAAGGGAUUACAAAGAGAAAAAGAGGACUACCUUCUGCCUACCUCCACCAUUGGAUGAUACAAUGCCUCAAAGGUUUAUUACAAACUGGAGAUGGCUACUACUACUACUACUACUACUACUACUGAGGAGAGUGAGGGAAGUGGUGCUCUGGUGCUUGCGAUGCUCUGUAGACUGGUGUUGUGUAGACUGUUGUUGUGUGUGUGUGUGUCUGUCCGCGCACAGUCCUCCUCCUUUUAUAGUGCGCGAGGGAUGCUGGAUGCUCCCCUCUUUUAUUCUUCUGCGUCAUAGCUGGAGGCUGGGGUAUCUCGUAGCUUGACACGCCUUAUGCACCGCUGAAGUGCCUCAGUGUUUGCGACAUCAAGCCUUGCGUGAAUCUGAUGCUAGACUGAUAUUUUUGUCUAGACUAAGAACUUUGUCCAGACUAAGAAUUUUGCCCAGACUGGAAUAUUUGUCUUCACCGCGAAUUUUGUCUUGACUGGAACUUUUGUCUUGACUGGAAUCUUUGUCUUGACAGAUGAUUUUGUCCAGACUGAAGCUCUUGUCUUCAUUGCAACUCUUGCCAUGAUUUAUACUUCCACGCCUUGCAGGCACCCUGAUAUGGGUCAUCCAUGCAUGGCUGAAUAUUGUCUUCAUGCAACUUGGAUGAAGGGUCUUGUCUUGAAUGAGGAGUUUUAGCUUAACUCCUUGAUCUUUCCCGAUACGGAUGUUGCAUGGCUGCUUGUUGCAUAAUUAUUCUUGCUACCAUUAUUAUUAUUAUUAUUAUUAUUAUUAUUAUUAUUAUUAUUAUUAUUAUUAUUAUUAUUUAUUUUUAUUAUUUAUUUUUAUUUUUUUGGUAUGGGUAUGGGUCUACCCCGCCCAUAUUAUUGAUAAUACCUUAUCAAUAUUUCGAAUUCUAUCAAUAUUCGGGUAUAGGUCCUCCGCGCCCAAAUAAUUGAUAUUCAUAUCAAUUUAUAUUUGAGUAUAUUUGUCGGUGUACUAGAGUAGGGGUACCCUAGUAUCCCGAACUUGUGCACGGGCAGUUGCAGCGCCCCGCGGCAAGGCUUGCCGGACGACCGCCAGGGUCCUCCGUGGGUUCCUUUGGAGCCAUUCAAGAACAAAGUAUUUAAGAUGAAGAGACAAGACCCCGGCAAGAGGAGCUUGCCGGGAAGAGACAAGGCCCCGGCAAGAGGAGCUUGCCGGGAAGAGACAAGGCCCCGGCAAGAGGAGCUUGCCGGGAAGGCCAACCACGGCACUUCAAGAAACUUGCCGCGAUGCACCGCGCGUCCCGGCUAGGUCCGCCGAGCGACAAGCUUUCGGACGCGACAAGACGACGACCCCGACAAGGUACUUGCCGGGGGCCCGCUGCCACUCUGUACCCGCGCUCCAGCGCACCCACCCGCGUGUCGCCAUGAGGUUUUCUCAGGGGCGCGUGGCGGGAGCCUGUGCAGCCAGGGGUACGCGGUGGCAAGCGGAGAUGAAGAGAAGGCCAUCGUGGCAAACGGUGGCGCUCCUAACGGUCACUUUUUGCACUGUUUAGGCAACUCAGACGUGCAUUCAAUGACCUUGUCCCCUGCCGUCAGAGUUAGGUAGGGUGCACUGUGUCCACAGUAGCGGUAGCUGCACCUACCGCAUCCUUUUCCAUUUUUACCCUUCUAGUCUACGUUGCCACCUGUCGGUGACCCCUUGAGAGUAUAAAAGGAGGCCCAGGCGCAACGUAGAAGGGGUUCGGUCCAGGUUCGGCUCAUUCGAAGCACCAAGAACAUUCCCACGCUCAGUCUGGUAGCAUCCAUCGCUCCUGAGCAAGAACUCAAUACACAAACAAGCAGCAGUAGGGUUUUACGCAUCCGUGCGGCCCGAAGCUGGGUAAACUGCUCGCGUGUACUGCCUCGAUCCGCUCUUUGCACGACCUCCGCCCCCCUCCGAACCGAAAGGGGCCUGGUCCCCAUAGUUGUCCGUGGAUCAGUUUCCCCGACAUCUUUGGCGCGCCAGGUAGGGGGCGUCGAGAUUGUGUGAACCCGAUCCGGCGUGCACGCGAGCUAAAUCUUCAUCAUCUUCAUCGACAUGCCACCGAAGAAGAAGGAUUCGGAGGCAGUUGUUCCGUUUGCAUCGCUUUCACCGCCUCGGAGCAAACGGGUGGUGGAGUGGACGCCGGCAGAAGAACGGGCGUCGACGAGGGAGCUCUCAGUGCGGCCAAGUCCAAGGACAAGGCGGCACAGACCUCGGCAUCCAUGCGCGCACCGCGCCCGUCUCAGGAGGCGCGAGACCAGCAGCGUCAUGCCGUUCGCAGCGCCGUACGUCCGCUGGGCCAAGAUCAAGCUGGUGGUUCUCGUGGCGUCCAAGACCAGCACGCGCGUCAGCAUGCUGGAUCGAGCGAAGUACGGUCGCCUGGACGGGACACUGCUCCUUCUAAUGUGGUUAGGAGUCCGAGCAUGUCCCGCUCCUCGCACCAUUCACCUCUGCCGCCCACCACUCCAGCAGAAGCCUUGGCGCGAGCUCAAUUGCUCCUAGACUACCCUCCGACGGCGGACAAGACCGACGAGUGGAGGGCCACUAUCCAGAGCCUCAUCGGCUUCGCCAACGGCGACACUGCGCGGCAACCAAGCACCUCGUUGCUGCGACAAGGCUGCCGAACGCGAGCCGAUGGUAACAAGACCAGAAGUUUCGACAGGCUGCACAAGUGCUGAAGACACUGGAUCGAGGAGCUGCCGGUGGUUCUUUGGUCGAUCAGGACGACGCCAAAUCGAGCCACUGGCCAGACACCCUUCGCUCUAGUCUACAGAGCAGAGGGAGUUCUCCCCACGGAACUCGUUUAUGGGUCACCUCGAGUGCUCGCUUAUGAUGAGCUCGAGCAAGAGCAGCUGCGGCAAGAUGACGCGCUACUCCUUGAGGAAGACCGUCUUCAGGCUGCUGUGCGAGCCGCUCGCUACCAGCAAGCUUUGCGUCGCUACCAUAGCCGCAAAGUUGAAGCCAGAAGCUUCGAGGAAGGCGACCUUGUUCUUCGGCGUGUUCAGUCCGCCAAGAGUUCCAACAAGUUGACGCCGAAGUGGGAAGGCCCUUAUCGGGUGAAAUGAGUCACUAGGCCCGGCGCUGUCCACCUUGAGACCGAAGAUGGCAUUCCGGUGAGCAACUCCUGGAACAUUGAACAUCUUCGUAAGUUUUACCGUAGGGCGCGGUUGCCGGAAGCUUUUCCGGCAACCACCUUCUGUACAAGUCUUGCCGCUGUUGCAUGUAAUCCUUUGUACAGAGCCGGGCACAGACCCCGUGCACCAGUAAAGUCCAUGUGCCCUGCACAUCUUGUCAGUUUUUAUGCUCUAAUCCUUUUUGCAUAUGUUAUCUGACACUUUGUGCAGCACCAGACCCCGGUAAGCUGGGUUAUUUUCCUUGAAUGACCGUGCUUUGUAUGGGAAACCUGUGCGCGGAGGAACCGACUCGUAGCUAGUUGCGCCCUUACUUUGUUUCGAGUCCGCUCAACAACUUAAGUGAGCUGCAACUAGCUGCGACAAGGUUGCUUGUCGGUAGUGACCCCGCCAGCAGGCUGCUGAAGUUCCGCACUCGGCGCUCGCGGCAAGGGUGCCUGCUCCGACAAGUUUCCCUGAAAAGCGUAGGGCAAAGCCAUACAAAGCCAAGAGUCGAGUAAAGGAAAUAACACUGCAAUAACGAGCCGUAAGGCUCCAUACCAUUACUUUAUUUCUCUGUCUCUUUCUCAAAAGAAGGAAGGUUCCCUCGCCUACAAGGUUUGCCGGGGGGGAAGGAGAAGAUAAUGGUGUGGACCAGGCCGUUCAAGAAAGUUUCUCCUUGCCGGGAAGCAGACGACAGAAAAGCUAAGUUGCUAAAGCUUGAGCAAUCAGUUCUUUAAAGUUUUUGGGUUAUUUUCCUUGAACGACUGUGCUUUGUAUGGAAAACCUGUGCACGGAGGAACCGACUCGUAGCUAGUUGCGCCCUUACUUUGUUUCGAGUCCGCUUAACAACUUAAGUGAGCUGCAACUAGUUGCGACAAGGUUGCUUGUCGGUAGCGACCCCGCCAUCAGGCUGCUGAAGUUCCGCACUCGGCACUCGCGGCAAGGGUGCCUGCACUGGCAAGUUUCCCUAGAAAGCGUAGGGCAGAACCAUACAAAGCCAAGAGUCGAGUAAAGGAAGUAACACAGCAUUUUUUUUGCCUAAGAUAGAGUUAUAUUACAAAAAUAACUUGUCGCACCUCUAAUAAAGUGUUCCCAUGACAUGACUGGCAGCGACAAGAAAAGAAGAAAACUGACGGCCUAAUCUACGCGACCGCCGUCAACCCUUUUGACCUCGUUCACCCUGUCCAUAAUGGGUGCGACGAGGGCCUUAAGUGCGUCAAGAUCAGCGUCCGCCGGCAGCCUCUUGAGGACGUUGGUGAGGUUGAGGCUCGGGUUGCGGAAGGCCACCUUCACCAGCACCUUCUCCAGAACUCCGGCGCAAAUCGAACGCGACUCGUCAGCCAGCUGCUUUGGGAUCUGUUCCCGGAGUUGUUGAAGUGUCGUCGCCACGCCUUUGAAGAACAGAGUGAGCUUGGCGCUGGGGUGGAGGUUCUCGUCGGAGGAGUACCCGAAGCCUUCCACCCCCAAUUGCACCAACUCCUCUUCGAUGACUGCAGCAAUGUUCAUGAGGCCCUCCGUCCAGAGCGCCACAGUAUCUCUGAGAAGAUUCUAGGUUGCGGCGGCCCUCGCUAGCAGCGCCUCGUUGGCCUUGAUGUCCUUCUUCAAGUCCGCCUCCCGUUUCUUGGCGCCGUCCAACAUCUCCGUCAAGGUGGCCAGCUUCAGCUCCAGAUCAGCGUUGGAAUCCCUGGCGGCGCGCAGCUCUUUGCCCUUCUCGGAGAGUUGGCCCUGCAGCUCACCGUGGGCAAGGGCGUCCUUCUCGCGCUCCCGCUUGAGCGCGGCAAGCUCUUCGCCACCCACCUUCAGAUCAACCUCCAACUGUGCCACCUUCCCCUCCAGCUCUUUCUUGGCGGCCUCUGCAAUUGCCGCAGCAUCCUUUGCCUCCUUGAGUGCCCCGCCAAGUGCUCGCUCGCGCUCGGCGAGCUCUUCCUCGUAGCUGUCGAGAUUGGCCUUCCGCUGCACGUGUUCACCUUCCCGCGUGGACUGCUUCUCGGCGGCCAGCCUUUGCUCCUCCUCAGCUUCGGCCUUCUCGAGAAGGAAGGUUGUGCGCACCUCGUCGAGCCGCUCCUGCUCCUGCGCCAGGGACCGGAGAGCUUCUUGAUUAUGGCCCCGGAGCUCCUCCGCGCGCUUCUCCAUGUCAACCCCCGCCUUCGCGACAAGCGCUUCCCGAUAAGCCAGCUUGGCUUCCCGGGCAUGGUAGAGUGACAGCAGCCUCCGCAGCAGCCGCUCCUCCUCGGGCUCGUCACUGCUAAUUCCCGGCGCGUCAACGAUCGACAACCCGGCGGAGGCGAGCACCUCCCCAUCCAAAACUUCUCCUUCCACCGGCGCCCUGGAGCUUGACGCCCAAGGGAGCUUGAUGAAGAUGCCCUCGCCAGCCUUCAGAUAGGCGCCGGGCUGGGGCUCCUCGGAGCCUGACGCUGCGGCAGCGGCGGAGGGAUCAGCGGUCGGUGCAGCGCCUGACGCUCCUGCGGCCUCAGGGCCGUCAGUGCGACCGCUAGAUCCCCCGCCAGCUUCCUCGGUGGCAGCCUUGGCGGCUUCUCCAUCGGCAGGCACAUCGGCACUAGCUCCGUCUUCGGCGGCCGCGGCAUCAUCAGUGUUGCCACGCGCGUCCUCCCCGCCGCCCGCCUCGGUCUCCAUCGGAUCCGCGGAGGGUGGAUCUGACGACCGGAGAAGAAUGAGAAGUCAAACAAGCACUCAAGAAGAAAAAUCAGCAGAAGAAUACGAGGAAAGUUUCGGGCAGGAAGGACUACCUGUGCUGUGAUCCGCUGUCAUGAGCUCCACCACCGGCGGAUCGUUAGCGCUGUCCCUUGCCGGAGACUCCUCCCUUGCUGGAGGCUCCUCCCUUACCGGAGAACGCUCCCUUGCCGGGGAGUCCGCCCUUGACGGCGUAGUCGAAGCAGACGACGAGUCGGAGGUGAUCACCACGCCCUCCUGAUGAAGAUGUUCUGCUCCUGCACAAACAAACCAGUGAUCAGAUGUCAACAAAGGAAAAGAGCAACCACGCGCACCCAGAAGCAGAAAGUAAACCAUAUGCUCACGUUGGGGGCUGCGCCGGGGGCUGCUCUGCAAAGUGACGGCCGGAUCCGGCAAGGUGGUCUCGGGCGCGCCUCCUACCGUCGCAGUGGGCUCGUCCUCGAUGAUCACCACCUGAGCCUUGGCCCUCUUCACUGCCCUCUGGGCCAGAGUCCUGAAAAGGGAGAGUCCUGGGUGGGUCAGAUCAGAUGCAAGACAAGAAUAGCAAGUUGAAGAACUACAAGAGCAACAAGGGAAUCUUACUCUUCUUCCUCUUCCUCGUCGGAGCUGAGCGCGGAGAGAUAUGCGGCGUGACCCAGGCUCCGCACGUGCCCGUGCCCUGUUUUGGGCCUGGCCCAACAGUGCUCGGCACCGUGUGUGGCCCAGGCCCGGGGGCUCCUGUCGGUGUACUAGAGUAGGGGUACCCUAGUAUCCCGAACUUGUGCACGGGCAGUUGCAGCGCCCCGCGGCAAGGCUUGCCGGACGACCGCCAGGGUCCUCCGUGGGUUCCUUUGGAGCCAUUCAAGAACAAAGUAUUUAAGAUGAAGAGACAAGACCCCGGCAAGAGGAGCUUGCCGGGAAGAGACAAGGCCCCGGCAAGAGGAGCUUGCCGGUAAGAGACAAGGCCCCGGCAAGAGGAGCUUGCCGGGAAGGCCAACCACGGCACUUCAAGAAACUUGCCGCGAUGCACCGCGCGUCCCGGCAAGGUCCAGCGAGCGACAAGCUUUCGGACGCGACAAGACGACGACCCCGACAAGGUACUUGCCGGGGGCCCGCUGCCACUCUGUACCCGCGCUCCAGCGCACCCACCCGCGUGUCGCCAUGAGGGUUUCUCAGGGGCGCGUGGCGGGAGCCUGUGCAGCCAGGGGUACGCGGUGGCAAGCGGAGAUGAAGAGAAGGCCAUCGUGGCAAAUGGUGGCGCUCCUAACGGUCACUUUUUGCACUGUUUAGGCAACUCAGAUGUGCAUUCAAUGACCUUGUCCCCUGCCGUCAGAGUUAGGUAGGGUGCACUAUGUCCACAGUAGCGGUAGCUGCACCUACCGCAUCCUUUUCCAUUUUUACCCUUCUAGUCUACGUUGCCACCUGUCGGUGACCCCUUGAGAGUAUAAAAGGAGGCCCAGGCGCAACGUAGAAGGGGUUCAGUCCAGGUUCGGCUCAUUCGAAGCACCAAGAACAUUCCCAAGCUCAGUCUAGUAGCGUCCAUCGCUCCUGAGCAAGAACUCAAUACACAAACAAGCAGCAGUACGGUUUUACGCAUCCGUGCGGCCCGAAGCUGGGUAAACUGCUCGCGUGUACUGCCUCGAUCCGCUCUUUGCGCGACCUCCGCCCCUCUCCGAACCGAAAGGGGCCCGGUCCCCAUAGGUGUCCGUGGAUCAGUUUCCCUGACAAUAUUUGAUUAUUACUUUCCUUCUUUUAUUCAAUUGGUUGCCCGUGCCCGGCAAUAUCCGUAUGAUCUACCUCAGAAAUAGUGAAAUCGUAUUUUUGAUCAUAUUCUUUCUUUAGCUCUUCAAAAAAUUUGUACAUUUCUGAUCAUAAUUCUUUUAAAAUUUCUUCCUUCAAUUCUGCCUUCAUUGUCUUUGCAACUUCUUUAUAUUUUUCAUCUAUCUUCAAUUCUAUGUAUUCUCCGUCCAAAGGAUCAACUCCUUUGAUAAGGCAUUCUUUGCAUGUCUCAUAUUUGGGGGAUUCUUCUUCUUUAGCCUUCCGGGAGCUUGAUGCUUUUCCCUUUGUAUAGUUAGGAAGUGAUAGAGUGGUUAUAUUGCUACUUAUGCCUCUUCAUCUUUCGAUAUAUUCUUUGGCUUUUGGGUCUAUAUAAUAAUCUUGCCCAAUUAGGUCGCUUGCCCAUUUUAGGGCAUCAUUGUAAUCAUCAUAUUUUUUCCAUGUUAAGUCUUCUUUCUUCCAUCUUGCCUCAAAUUUCUCUUUUAUAAUAUCUUCAUAGCUCAUAUAUAUUCCUGGCUUAUUUCCAUCAAAUAUUAUAUAUAGAGUAUUUUCUUUUUGCAUCUCCUUUGGUGGCGCUUUGGGGUUGCCUUGAUUUAAUUCAUUAAAGUAUUCAACUAGGCUAUUAAGGAUUGCUAGCAUGUAACCUUGGUCUUCUGUUUUAUUGGUGUAUUGAAACCAGAAAUUGUCCAGUAUGCACCUCUGGGUGUCUUUAAUUUUGAUAUGACUUUUAGGCUUGAAGUUGAAAGUAACUGGUGCAAAUAAUUUGAGCUUAUUCAUUUCUCCAAAUAUGUAUGCUUCAUGUCCUCCAGGAAGUGAUCCUUUCUUCAUUGCUGUAAAAUUGAGGAGCGAGAUAAUAUGUCAGGCAAACUAUUAUCUUUACCUUUGAUAUGUUCAAAUAUUACUUUAUAUCCAUUCCUUGCUAUAGUAUCUUCGAAUAAUACCCAUCUUCUAGUUGAACUUUUCUUGCUAUUAAUCUGAUUAUAAUAUCUACAUAUUGCUUCACUGUCUGUUCGUACUGUAAAUUCCUUAAAUCCUAAAUAUAAUCUAAAAGCAUUAAUUGCGUGAACUACCGCAAGAAUUUCUCUAUCAAUAUUAUUUAAUGUCUUUAAUUUGUAACUUCCUGAAGCAUAUCUACAUAUUUUCUCCUUAGUUUUGGGAGAAUAUUUGUUGGGUUUUUGCUUUAAUAUAGCUCCCCAACCUACUUUAGAGGCAUCGGUUUCAAUUAUAAAGUAAUAGUCUUCUAAUGGUAAUUCUAAAGGUUUCAAAUUCUUGACCUUGUCUUUAAUGGUCCUUACUAGUUUUAUAUCUUCUGAGUUAAAAUAUCUUUGACCAUUCUUUCUUAAUUUAGCAUAUAAAGGUCCAGCAAGUUUUGCUAGGUUAUCUAUAUAAUUCCUUGCAUAAUUUACAAUUCCUAAGAAUUGUUGCAAUAUAUUUUUAUCAUUCAUGUUAUCAGGGAACUGCAAAAUUAUCUUUGCAAUAUGUUCUUGUAAAUAUAUUUUUCCUUCUCCUAUUUCAUGACCAAGGAAAUUUAUUUUCUCUCUACAAAUUACCAUUUUCUUUUUAGAUAGUAUGAGUCCAUUUUGUUCUACCUUUCUAAAGAAGACUUCAAGAUGAGCUAUAUGCUCUUUAUAUAAUUUUGAGAAGACCAGCAAAUCAUCUACGUAUACCAAUAUGAAUGAUUGAUUCUCAUUGAAUAUGUUUUGCAUUUUUCUUUGAAAUAACGCAGGUGCAUUCUUUAGACCCAAUGGCAUUACUAGCCAUUCAUAAUGGCCUAGUGGACAAGUGUAAGCUGUCCAAGGAAUAGAUUCCUCUACCGUCUUUACUUGCCAGAAUCCUCCUUUUAAGUCAAACUUUGAAAAAUAUUUGCUCCCUUGGAUUCUAAUGAUCCAUUCUUGUUUAUUAGGUAUAUUGUAGGCAUCAUCUACCGUAUUAUCAUUAAGACUUUUAAAACUAAUUACCAUCCUAGACUUACCCGUAGCUUCUUUAGCAUGAUUUCUAACUAUAAAUGCAGCUGAACGGUGAGGACUUUUGCUCUCUCUGAUUGCUCUUAAUUUUAACAAUCUUCAAUAUGCAUCUUAACUUCCUCUAUAUCUUUUGGUGUAGCCUCUAUUGGGCCUGAUUUGAUUAUAUAAUCUGGGUUUAUGAUGUUUAUCUUACAAAUUAUGGAGUUCUUGUCCCAAUGUUUCAUUGGUAUUUCUCCUAUAAUUUGUAUAUGUUCUAACCUUUGCACAAUCUUGUCUAUAUCCUUUUUGGACUUUAUAUCUCUAUACCAAUUUGGUGCAAAUGAUUGUAGUCCUAUGCAAUCUAUGGAAGUAUUUUCUAUAUGAUAUUCUUCUAUAGCUUCACUAGAUCUUCUUCAUUGCAGGUUUUAGGGGAUUCUGCUGUGUCUCAUAUUCAACUUUCGAGUUGGAUAUUUCAGCUAGUUGUACAGCCUUUCUUUGUUUUCGUACUUCAGAUAUGUAUGGGACAUUAUCUUGAUAAGGGACAAAUGUAACACCUUCUUCAUGUAUAAUAGUGGUUUGGAGAGAAUGUUGUAAAAAUCUUAAUCCUAAUAUCAUGUCAUCAUUUAUUACUGAUAAAUCUCUAAUUGUAAUUUCGUCUAUUAUAUAUUUUGUACCGUUAAUAUAUGUUUCUAUGUUAUAUGCUAACUGCUUAUGGAUUUUCUUUAUACCCGACAUAUCUGUAGAUACCUCAGCUUUAUUAUCAUCUAUAGUUUUUACUAUUUCAGGACACUUAACGAAAUACUUGUCAUGAAUGAUAUUUUUUGUGCACCCUGUAUCUAAUAAUGCUAAAAUCUUAUAGGAAAUAUUUGGUUUUAAUACUAUUCUAACCGAAAUCCUUAUUCCUAGAACUUCUUUGAAUGGCAAUCUCACUAUAUAUUUAUUUCCUUAGUUGGUUAUGGCAUCUCUUAAUUGAAUUAAUCUAUCUCCAUUUUUAUCUCUUACUGUUAUCAUUUGCUCUUUCAUUUCAGUGCCUUCAACUACAAUGUUCUCUUCCUCUGUAUUUGAUUUAUUUUCUAAGUUAGAUUUUAGAUCUUCUAGUUCUGCCUCUAACUUAUUUAGUCUAUUUUCUAGAUUUCGAAAUCUGCUAGAUAAUAUUCUAUCUUCAUGUUCAUAUUCUAUUUCUUGUCUCCACCUUUGAUUCGUAGAUUUUAGGCAUGAGUUACAAGCUUUUCUUAAGCAUAAACUACAUGUAUACUUAUUCUCUUGGCUGGGGUAAUAUAUGCAAAAGGCACAUUUUAUAUUAUAAUCACCUUUUCCCCUAAUCCAAUCAUGUUCACAAUCUACCUGGUUCAUCAUCUCUACUUUUAAUCCUGAUAGAUCAUCUAUUAAAUCUAUUUCAUCUUCACUAGCUUCUUCUUCUAGCUCUUCAUUUUCUAUUUCAUCUAUUUCUAUAAUAGAGUAUAUUGACUCGUCAUCUUUUAUUUCAUCAUCACAAAGUAAUAUAUUCUCAUUAACACUAUCUAUAAUUAAUACUCUCUCUUGCUCUUCAUAUUUACUAGAGUACCUUUUCUGAUCUUUACUAGGGCAAGUUUUACUUAAAUGAUCAGGAGAAUUGCAUAUGAAACAUCUACAUGUUUUAUCAUAUAAUUUUCUAGGAUUAUAUCUUCUAACGUUUCUUUUAUGCAAGAAUGGGGCUCUAUUAUCCGAUCUUCAUAAGAAAUAUCUUUUCUUUGUUCUAAAAUUUCUAUUAUCUCUUUGUGGUUUAUAAUAUUUCUUACUCUUGUGUCUUUCUUCGCCAUAUGUUAGUGGUAUUUGGACGAUUUUAUUGCAGAAAUUAUAAUCAGAUUUCUUCAUAGACCUCUGGGCCUGUAUACUUGUACAUACCUUUCUAAGAUGUUUAAACACGAAAGUUAUAGCUUGAGAUAUACUUAUGUCUAUGCCCGCAGUAUCUUUCUUAUAUUCUUCAAAUAUUAUUGAUCCUAAUGGAUCUAGUAACUUAUUAAAAUACCUUUCAACCACACCUUUAUUGUAGCAUUGCUUAGCUGUGGUAGCAUUGUAUAAAUAAUGUUGAGAAAAUUCCUUUAUACCUUUCCAACUAGUUAAAGUUAAUUUUUCUAUCUCUCUCAACCUUUCAUUUUGCAAUGUGGUAUGACCCAAUUCUGGAUCUUCUGCUAUGACCAUAUUUGAUAUGACAUUGGAAAAGUUAUUAGGAUUACUCCCAGCACUUUUUAGUUCUUCGUAUUGGUCUGGAUAUGUCUCUACCCAUUGUUCCCAUAAUAUUUUUACUGAUUCUCCCAAAAAUGUUUCAAGAUAUGUUAUCAUAUCUUCCACCUUAUUCCCUAUAUUAUAUUGAUUUUGUAUAUAUUUUUGGACUAUUAAUCCUUUCCACACACUAAUUAUAUUCGGCAAUCUACAGGGUCAUGGGCUGCUAAAUUCAGAAUUGCACCAUCAUUCCUAGAGUUUUGGAACUGCACUACUUUUUCAAAACCUCUUCUUUUAGAACCCAUAAAUGUAUAUUGUCCAGGGAUAUAUGUAGGUUGAUAAUCAUCUUUUUCAGGAGGCCAUUUUCCAGCUGAUCGAGUAGGUCUCUCUCUUUCUCCUUCUCUUUUUACAGAAGACUCGCCAUAUCCUCUUCUUAUUUUAUGACCACCUAAAUCUACUUCCAUGGCUUCCAUCGCAUUUUCUAAAUUAUGCAGACUUUCGUCAUCUAACGAGUUUAUAAAAUCAGCAUUUUGCUCAGAAUCAAUAUAAUUUUUAUCUUCAUAUUCAUCCCAUGGUUCUUCUACUUCUUCAUAACUUUCUAAUAAUAGCUUAUUAUUGAUAUCCCAUUGAUCUUCUUCACUUAUGGCUUUCUCCUUAUGACUUUCGGCUUUAUUCUUAAUAUCGGUAUUUUCUUUGCGUUUAAUAUUAUUCUUUGGCACCACUGGGUUACUAAUGACUGUUUUUUUAUCCUUUAUUAAUCUUUUUAUUCUCGAAAUUUCUCUAAUAAAGAAUAAUUCUCUUUCUCUUAUUUUAGGCCAAUCUGAUGUCAUUGAAUUAUUAUAUUCCCAGUUUAUGCGUUUUAAUUUUUCUUCCCAAUGUUUUAAUUCAUCUUCUAAGUCUGCCUUUUCCAUGCAUUCUUUUACUCCUUUAUUCCUACUAUCACUUCUCUCUGCUUCUGACAAAAGAGGUUCUAUUUCGUCUGCGACGACGGAUUUAUAGUUCAAGAAUCUAAUGUUACUACUUCCUUCGCUGUUUUGGUAGCUUAUAUAAUUUUUUUGCUGCUUCAACUCUUUCUUUUCUAUUAAUUCGCUUAUAUUCAAUUCUUCUCUUGCUCUCUCUUCAAAACCAAUUUUAAGAGGGCUCAUAAAUUUUAUGCCUUUAGAUUGCAUGCUCUCUAUUACGUCAUUUACGUUUACUUUGUAUCUAGAGCUGCUUUUAUUCAUGAGUCUUCCUAUGAAUUCAAUGCUUACUAACAAAUUUGUUCCUUUAAAAUCUUCAUAUCCUUUGGUUUGAAACCCAAAGCUCAUUUUCUCAAUAAAUUCUUUUACAGGCAUCAUUAAGUCUGGAGGUAUAUAUGUUAUUAAUCUAUUUUCAUUCACAUCUCCUUCCAUAAAGCCUAAUGAUGCUUUGUCUACCGACUCCCAUCUUUUAUCAAGUAAUGUAAUUAAUACCUUCGUUCCUAAUUUCUUUCUUGUCAUUCCUUUUACUCCUAUAAUAUACAUCCCUUGGUGAAUAUAUUUGUAACCUGAAUAUUUAAGUUCAUUCUCAAUAUUUUUACUAACAAUUCUUAAAUCAACCGGAUGUGUUAACACAAUUAAUUCUACUUCUCUAGAUAUUUUGUAUAAUCCGCUUUUACUUUCAAAUAUGCCCAUGUGAUAUACCUGUUGCGGUCUUUUUUUCUUAACGUGUCUCUCUGAUAUAUUUCUAAUUUGCAUUCCAUGUCUAUAACCUCUUCUAAAUUAUCUAUGUCGUCACUUCUACAUGAUAUCCUAUUCAUCAUGGUUAGCGGCCUAGAAUCUUGCCUUAUUAAAUGGAUGGUCUUGUCUCUUCUAGAGAGGCUUUUAGAUAGUUCCAUUUUUCAGAAUUAAUAUUUUUAGAGGAUGAGACUAUUCCGGAUGAAGAUAAUAUCAACCCGUUGUUACCUCGUUUAGUAUUUAGCUUUUCCAAAAUCUGGACUAGUAGUUGUAGAAUUGUGUUAUUCUGCCUAAUAAUUAUUCUGGAAUCUUCUUUUGGCGAAUCGUGAUCUGAAAAUCUGACAGAAGGUGUUAAAUAUUUUUCUACUUCUUUUAAUGCAUGGUUAUAUUCAUUCAUUCAAGUUAUGAUACGACUAGAGUCUUUACUUCUUGUAUUAACCUUUUAACUUCAAGUAUAUCACGUCUUAUUUCAGCACCUGAUAAUGAAUCUUUAUUCUUAUUUACGACACCACUCAGAUUCUUACCUAUGGAUAAAACUUCUUCUUUAAUAUAGUCGUUGUUCUUACAAAUUAUAAGGUUUCUACCUUUCGAUUCUUCUAAUUUCUGUAGAACUAGAUCGAUUUUAUUAUUCAAGCCUGCGUAUUUUUCUACUAACUUAUUGUGUUCUUUUAACAGACUUUCAAAUUUUUGGUCUAGAUUAUCUUGCCUUUUUUCCCAAGUUAUAUAAAAGUUAUGAAUGAGGUUGAGAAUUAAAUUUAGUUGGCUAUGAGUAGUAUGCCACGUAUGUUCUUCAGAAGGAUUUAUUCUGCACCGUAUGCUAAUAUUUUCUUUGGUAGAGAUCAGUCUACCUGUACUAAUUUCUAAAUUUAAAUACUUUAGUCUUUCAAUGAUUAAAACUCUUGCUGAGAUACCAACACACAAAAUAUAAUAAAUUAAAUUAUUAAAAACUUUUAAUUUCUUACAAUAUUUAAAGUACGAUAUUAUUAAGUGCUUAGGUAAUUUAAUUUUUUUGAAAUUAUUUAAUUAAUUAAUCUUUAAUUAAUAUGCAGGAUCUUUUACGGGUUGGCGAAACCAACGAGACAUCCUACGGGUAUGCAGCAGUUGUGUUAAUCCUACUCGGUACUCUCCGUAUUCAUCACUAUGUUGCUUCAGAAGCAGCUAAGUUCUUUCACUUGAUGUUUAUAUUACAAAUUUAUUUGAUGAAUUCCUACCGUCUUCCCAGGCAGUUCCACCCGAAGGGAACACUUCUCUACGGCCACAAUGUUCUCAUUUAAACGCCACACAUCGGCUAAACAGAGAACUACCGGCAGAGGUUUCUCCUAUAGGAUCCCUAGCGUAAGAACUCAUUUCAUAAAUUCAUAAUAUUAAAAGCAAGUGAAACCCGAAACUACUUCACUUCGACAACAUAAUUUACAUAUGGAUUUCCCUUUCGGGAGACCCCGAAGGGAUUACAAAGAGAAAAAGAGGACUACCUUCUGCCUACCUCCACCACUGGAUGAUACAAUGCCUCAAAGGCUUAUUACAAACUGGAGAUGGCUACUACUACUACUACUACUACUGAGGAGAGUGAGGGAAGUGGUGCUUUGGUGCUUGCGAUGCUCUGGAGACUGGUGUCGUGUAGAAUGCUAUUGUGUGUCUCCGCGCUCAGUCCUCCUCCUUUUAUAGUGCGCG
rnacentral:lncRNA from 1 species